rnacentral:rRNA from 1 species
ACGGGAGGCAGCAGUGGGGAAUAUUGCACAAUGGGGGAAACCCUGAUGCAGCGACGCCGCGUGAAGGAAGAAGUAUUUCGGUAUGUAAACUUCUAUCAGCAGGGAAGAAACUGACGGUACCUGACUAAGAAGCGCCGGCUAAAUACGUGCCAGCAGCCGCGGUAAUACGUAUGGUGCAAGCGUUAUCCGGAUUUACUGGGUGUAAAGGGAGCGUAGACGGAGAGGCAAGUCCGAAGUGAAAGCCUGGGGCUCAACCCCGGGACUGCUAUGGAAACUGCAGUUCUAGAGUGCCGGAGAGGUAAGCGGAAUUCCUAGUGUAGCGGUGAAAUGCGUAGAUAUUAGGAGGAACACCAGUGGCGAAGGCGGCUUACUGGACGGUGACUGACGUUGAGGCUCGAAAGCGUGGGGAGCAAACAGGAUUAGAUACCCUGGUA